rnacentral:rRNA from 1 species
CCCUACGGGGUGCAGCAGGCGGAAACAUAAGUGUCUUGUGAAAACCCCCGGCUUAACCGGGGAAUUGCUCGGCAUACUGUGUUUCUUGAGGCAAGCAGGGGUGUGUGGAACUCUUGGUGGAGCGGUGGAAUGCGUAGAUAUCAAGAGGAACGCCGAAGGUGAAGACAGCACACUGGGCUUGUCCUGACGCUCAGGCACGAAAGCGUGGGGAGCAAACA